UCCCUGGUGGCUCAGUGGUAAAGAAUCUGCCUACUAAGGCAAAGAGUCAGACAUGACUGAGCAACUGAACAACAAAAACAAGGCAGAAGACACAGGUUCGAUCCCUGAUCUGGGAA
rnacentral:tRNA from 1 species